AGAACACUGAGUAAUAUACUAAUCCUACCAACACAGAGAUAGAAUUGGAACUUUGUGGGGUUCCUUAGACUGAAGUAAGAAGUGUGGUAUCAUGUGGAUGGAUAAUCCCUGGGAUGGCGGUGCUGAUAAAGUUGAACAUAGUUGGUGAUGAACCCAAAUGCAAUAAGGGCUAGUGUGGUAGUUCUCAGGGAGAACAAGCAUCUACAAGGCACCAAUUUCAGAUGGCAUGAAAAUAAUGAGCUUCAGCCACUCCCUCCGUUCAGGGUCCCUGACUUCCCGCAACACAGAAGCUCUCUAAUACAGAAAAGGAGAAGUCACCAACAGAGAGGAGAAGAGCAUGUGAAGACAGAUGCAGAGAAUGGAAUUAUGCAGCCACAAGCCAAGGAACAUCUGGAUGCACCAGAAGCUAUUAAAAAAAAAAAAAAAAAAAAAAAAAAGAUUCUCAUCAGAGUCUUCACAGACAGUGCAGCCCUGCCAAUACCAACACUUUGGUUUCAUAUGCUUGGCCUCCAAAACUGUGAGAGAAAAAAUUUCUACUUUUGUAACCCACCUAGUUUGUGGCUCUUUGUUACAGCAGCCACAGGAAACUAAAUAUAAGCAUCAUACACUGAUUCUUAAGGGGAAGACUAAUUUCUGGAUCUCUUGAAUGUAGGAUGUAAUAACAAAUGUCAGCAGAUUUUAAAAAUAUAAAUGUAACUCUAUAUACCUGCUGAUUUUUACACCUUGAACAGUGUUGUAAGUUUUGGUUUUUCCUAUGAAUUAAAUUAUAUAUUAUAAAAUAUUUCAUGUUGUAAUGCCUGAAAUUAUAUCAAGAAUCUGCAACAUGGGGUUGAAUUAUUUCUUUUAGCACCAGUAAUGGAAUGAAUCUGCUAAUUUAGAAAUUGGGUAUAAUAACUAUUUUACUCCAUAUCUAGUGUUUUACCUUUUCUACAGUUCAACUAAGAAAUAAAUUGCUUUCUUAGUAGGCAAUGAGAUUUUUGGCUUAUCUAAGAAAAUAUAGCAGUAAAAAGGUCACAGCAAUUUGCUUUAUGGGCCACAUGUUACUGGUAAAAUGAAAUCAUUCUAGCAUAUGGCUUUUAGAGUAGAAACACACAAGCAAACAAAAAUUCUAAAUGUCAGAGCAACUUCAUUUUAGCACACACAUAUUUCCAAAAUGUACAGAGAACAAUAAUAAAAAUAAAGUUCGGAACAUAAAUUCAGUUAAGAACUAUACAUUUCCAAUUGAGAAAAAAUCAAGAGCAGACAGUUUUGCAAGAUUUCUCAAUCAGAUUUUUCAUUAUAGGAAAGCUGUUCCUUUAUAUUUUAAUACAUGUAGAUAAAAUCUUUUCACCAUAGUCACAGGAAGUUUCAAUGUAUUUACUAGUGGUAUAUUCAGUAACUGUGUUGGAGGAUGAAAAAGAAAAUAAGCUGUAGUGCUACCUUUGGCAUGGAUAAAUAAUGCCUUUUUUAUUUUCCAGUAUAUCAUGCUACUUUCUGAUUUUAUACACAUUUGAAUCAAGUUAAUAUUUUGAUUUUUCUUCCUGCCAAUUCAAUAUAUAUUAUAGUCUUUAUCUGAAUAUGGCUGAUUUUUCCCCAAAUUUGUAUAAAUGUGUUUAUAAAACUAAUUUAAGCACAUGUAACGCAAAAGGAAAGGCCCAAUAAGACAAUGUAAUGCACUUGUUCUCACUGAAAGGGAACUCUGAAGACGUGGUAAAGGAAAUAACCCUGGAAAAGAAAUGGAUAUAUGGAUUACUUUGAAGGAAUUUUUUAUUUGUUUUGCUUUAUUUUCCCCCACUAAGAUAAUCAGAAUUUUAUUUACUUUCUGAAACAAAUAUUUCUUCUCUCCAGUUUUCUUGUAUUGCUUUUUCAUUUCCAAUAUUUGUAACUUCUUUAGAUAAUUAACAAGGACCUAAACAUUUGUCUGUUCCUGCUAUAAAGAUGAGGCUGCCUGAACAGAGAGGCCAUUGAACAAAUGGAGAAAUAUGAGGUGUUAUGAAGUGAUGGCAUCCUAAGUGGUGAAGUUAUUAUAAGAACCAAUAGAAGUACCACAGUAAAGGAGAAUCAAGAUUUGCAUGAGAAGAGAGUUAGUGAUAGAAAUUCAGAAAGAGUUAAUCUGGAUUCAUUUGCCAGUCUUAAUAGGUACAAUUAAUAAUUCAUUUCUAGGUCUUUGGUAUAGUCUACUUGUUCCCAUUUUAUAAUAGAACUUUCUUUAGCAUUUUUCACUUAAUCUAUUGUGGGAAUGUUUUGGGAACACAUUUGAGCAGUGAAGAUUAAAAACCACACCACUACCCUAUAGACAUAUAAACAUGUAUUAGUUAAACUACUACUUUAGAUCAGGAGUCCGGAAAACUAAAGCUUAUAACCAAAUCCAUCCCACAGCCUGUUUUUCUUCUUUAUUGUGGUAAAAUACAUAUAAAAUUUACUAUCUUAACCAUUACUAAUUGUCCAUUGCAGUAGUAUGAAGUUGUUCACAUUGUUAUAUAAUCAUCAUCACAAUCUGUCUCCAGGACUCUUUUCAUUGCAAAAUUGAAAGUUUGGCCUAUGAAACAAAAAUGUCCCAUUUUCCCCUCCACCAGCCCUUAGCAAUCACCAUUCAAUUUUUGUCUCUCUGAAUUUGACUACCCUAGAUACUUUAGAUAAGUUGAAUUAUACAAUAUGUGUCUUCUGUGAGUAGCUUGUUUCACUUAACCUGGUGUACUUAAGGUUCAUUUAUGUUGCAGCAUGUGUCGGAAUUCCUUCCCUUUUUAAGGUUUGAUAAUAUUCUCUUGUUUGUAUGUUCCACAUUAUCCAUUCAUCAAUCAAUGGACACUUGGAUUGCCUUCACAUUUGAAGUAUUACAAAUGAUUCUGCUAUGAAUAUGAAUGUACAAACAUCUAUCUGAGUCCCUACUUUACACUAUUUAGGGUAUAUACCCAGAAAUGAAAUGACUAGAUCAUAUGGUAUCCCAUUUUUAAUUUUUUUGAGGACACGUCAUACUAUUUCACAUCAUAGCUGCACCAUUUUACAUUUCAACCAACAAUGUACAAGUGUUCAACAUUCUCAGCAUCUUCAAAAGCAUUUGUGAUUUUCUGGAAUUAAAAAAAAGAAAAACAGCCAUACUAGUGGAUGAGGUAGAAUUUCAUUGUUGUUUUCAUUUGCAUCACUUUAAUGAUUAGUGAUGUUGAGCAGCUUUUCAUAUGUUUAUUGUCCACUUGUAUAUCAUUCUUGGAGAAAUGUGUAUUUCAGCCCCACAUCUAUUUUUUAAUUUAGUUAUUUAUUUUGUUGUAGCUGUUAUUGCUGAGUUGUAAAAGUUCUCUACAUAUUUGAUGUAUUAACCUCUUUUCAGACGUAUAAUUUGCAAAUAUUUUAUUCUACUUUGUGUAUUGCAUUUUAAUACUGUUGAUUGCACACUUUUUUUCUCUGUAGAAGUUUUACUUUUGAUGGGUCAAUUUACCUACCUUUUUUGUUGUUGUUGUUGCUUGUGCUUUUGGUGUUAUGCCCAAUAAAUCAUUACCAAACCUAAUGUCAUGAAGUUUUCCUCUAUGAUUUUUUUUCUAAGAGUUUUGUUUUGUUUUGUUUUUGCUUUUACAUUUAGGUCUUGAAUCUAUUUUGAGUUAAUUUUUUGUAUAUAAAUAUAAAGUGAAAGUUUUAGUGUCAUUCUUUUCAUAUGGAUACUCAAUUUCCCCAACACAAUUUGUUAAGAAGACUGUCCUUUCCUCAUUAAAUAAUCUUGACACUGUUGUUGCAAAUCAGGUGACCAGAUAAAUGAUAUAAAUGAGGGUUAUUUCUGGGCUCUCUAUUUUAUUCCUUUCUCAUAUGUGUGUGUGUGUGUGUGUGUGUAUGUGUGUAUAUAUAUAUGUGUGUGUGUGUAUGUAUAUAUACACACAUACACAUAUGAAAUAUAUAUUUUAUAUAUUUUUAAAAUUUAAUUAUAUAUAUUUUUUUCUUUUUGAGAUGGAGUCUCGCUCUGUCACCCAGGCUGCAGUGGAACAAUCUUGGCUCACUGCAACCUCCACCUCCCACGUUCAAGCAAUUCUCCUGCCUCUCUCAAUACAGGUGCACAUCACCAACCCUGGCUAAUUUUUCUAUUUUUAUUAGAGACUUGGUUUCACCAUGUUGGCCAGGCUGGUUACGAACCCCUGACCUCAAGUGAUCUGCCCACCUCAUCUUCUCAAAGUGCUGGAAUUACAGGUGUGAGCCACCAUGUCCGGCCUGGUUUAUAUGUUUCUGCCAGGACCAUAAUACUUUAAUUACUGUAGCUUUGAAAUAAAUUUGAAAUCAGGACAUAUGAAGACCACAGCUUUUCUGAUAAUAAUAAAAAGGGAGGGGGCAAAAAUUAUUUGAAGAAAUAUUGAGAAAAUAAUUGCCAUUUUUUA
ensembl:lncRNA